GACGAACGCUGGCGGCGUGCUUAACACAUGCAAGUCGAACGGAAAGGCCCUGCUUUUGUGGGGUGCUCGAGUGGCGAACGGGUGAGUAACACGUGAGUAACCUGCCCUUGACUUUGGGAUAACUUCAGGAAACUGGGGCUAAUACCGGAUAGGAGCUCCUGCUGCAUGGUGGGGGUUGGAAAGUUUCGGCGGUUGGGGAUGGACUCGCGGCUUAUCAGCUUGUUGGUGGGGUAGUGGCUUACCAAGGCUUUGACGGGUAGCCGGCCUGAGAGGGUGACCGGCCACAUUGGGACUGGGAUACGGCCCAGACUCCUACGGGAGGCAGCAGUGGGGAAUAUUGCACAAUGGGCGGAAGCCUUAUGCAGCAACGCCGCGUGCGGGAUGACGGCCUUCGGGUUGUAAACCGCUUUCGCCUGUGACGAAGCGUGAGUGACGGUAAUGGGUAAAGGAGCACCGGCUAACUACGUG
rnacentral:rRNA from 1 species